rnacentral:rRNA from 1 species
UACGUAGGGGGCUAGCGUUGUCCGGAUUUAUUGGGCGUAAAGAGCGUGUAGGCGGCCAUGUAGGUCCGGUGUGAAAACUCGAGGCUUAACCUCGAGAUGUCAUCGGAAACCAUUUGGCUAGAGUCCGGAAGAGGAGAGUGGAAUUCCUGGUGUAGCGGUGAAAUGCGCAGAUAUCGGGAGGAACACCAAUGGCGAAGGCAGCUCGCUGGGACGGUACUGACGCUGAGGCGCGAAAGCUAGGGGAGCAAACGGG